CUGGCGGCGUGCCUAAUACAUGCAAGUCGAACGGUCUUUCUAUGGAAGCUUGCUUCCACUGAGAAGAUAGUGGCGAACGGGUGAGUAACACGUGGGUAACCUGCCCAUAAGAGGGGGAUAACAUCCGGAAACGGGUGCUAAUACCGCAUAGUUUUCUUGGUCGCAUGAUCGGGAAAGGAAAGACGGCCUUUGUGCUGUCGCUUAUGGAUGGACCCGCGGCGUAUUAGUUAGUUGGUGAGGUAACGGCUCACCAAGACGAUGGAUACGUAGCCGACCUGAGAGGGUGAUCGGCCACAUUGGGACUGAGACACGGCCCAAACUCCUACGGGAGGCAGCAGUAGGGAAUCUUCCGCAAUGGACGAAAGUCUGACGGAGCAACGCCGCGUGAGUGAAGAAGGUUUUCGGAAUCGUAAAACUCUGUUGUCAGAGAAGAACAAGUUGGAGAGUAACUGCUCCAGCCUUGACGGUAUCUGACCAGAAAGCCACGGCUAACUACGUGCCAGCAGCAGC
rnacentral:rRNA from 1 species